AUACGUAGGUGACAAGCGUUAUCCGGAUCUACUGGGUGUAAAGGGCGUGUAGGCGGUUUGGCAAGUCAGAAGUGAAAUUCCCGGGCUUAACUUGGGCGCUGCUUCUGAAACUGCUUAACUUGCGUGCUGGAGAGGAUAGUGGAAUUCCCAGUGUAGCGGUGAAAUGCGUAGAGAUUGGGAGGAACACCAGUGGCGAAGGCGACUUACUGGGCCGUAACUGACGCUGAGGCGCGAAAGCGUGGGGAGCGAACAGGAUUAGAUACCCUGGUAGUCCACACUGUAAACGAUGAAUGCUAGGUGUAGGAGGUAUCGACCCCUUCUGUGCCGCAGUAAACACAGUAAGCAUUCCGCCUGGGGAGUACGGUCGCAAGAUUAAAACUCAAAUGAAUUGACGGGG
rnacentral:rRNA from 1 species